AGUUUGAUCUUGGCUCAUACAGAACGCUGGCGGGAUGCCUUACAUAUGCAAUCCAAACGGAAGGCGGACUUCUGUCUGGCGGCGAGUGGCGAACGGGUGAGUAACGUAUCGGAACGGGCCCCGGAGCGGGGGAUAACUACUCCAAAGAGUUGCUAAUACCGCAUACACCCUACGGGGGAGANNNNNNNAUCGCAAGACCUCUCACUAUUAGAGCGGCCGAUAUCAUAUUAUCUAGUUGGGGAGGUAAAGGCUCACCACGGCGACCAUCCAUAUCUGGUUUGAGAGGACGACCACCCACACUGGGACUGAGACACGGCCCACACUCCUACUCCAGGCAGCAGUGGGGAAUUUUGUACAAUGGGGGAAACCCUGAUCCUGCCACUCCCCGUGUGCGAUGAAAGCCUUCGGGUUGUAAAUUACUUUUGGCAGGAAAGAACGCUCACGGGUUAAUAACCUGUGUGUAUGACGGUACCUGCAGAAUAAGCACCGGCUAACUACUUGCCAGCAGCCGCGGUAAUACAUAGGGUGCAUGUGGUAAUCGGAAUUACUGGGCGUAAAGCGUGCGCGUGCGGUUCGGAAAGAAAGAUGUGAAAUACAAGGGCUUAACCUUGGAACUGCAUUCCUAACUGCCGGGCUAUAGUAUGUCAGAGGGGGGAGGAAUUCCGCUUGUAUAGUGAAAUGCGUAUAUAUGCGGAGGAACACCUAUGGCGAAGGUACCCCCCUGNAUAAUACUGACGCUCAGGCACGAAAGCGGGGGGAGUAAAC
rnacentral:rRNA from 1 species